rnacentral:rRNA from 3 species
CAGGUUGAAGGUUGGGUAACACUAACUGGAGGACCGAACCGACUAAUGUUGAAAAAUUAGCGGAUGACCUGUGGCUGGGGGUGAAAGGCCAAUCAAACCGGGAGAUAGCUGGUUCUCCCCGAAAGCUAUUUAGGUAGCGCCUCGUGAAUUCAUCUCCGGGGGUAGAGCACUGUUUCGGCUAGGGGGCCAUCCCGGCUUACCAACCCGAUGCAAACUGCGAAUACCGGAGAAUGUUAUCACGGGAGACACACGGCGGGUGCUAACGUCCGUCGUGAAGAGGGAAACAACCCAGACCGCCAGCUAAGGUCCCAAAGUCAUGGUUAAGUGGGAAACGAUGUGGGAAGGCCCAGACAGCCAGGAUGUUGGCUUAGAAGCAGCCAUCAUUUAAAGAAAGCGUAAUAGCUCACUGGUCGAGUCGGCCUGCGCGGAAGAUGUAACGGGGCUAAACCAUGCACCGAAGCUGCGGCAGCGACACUGUGUGUUGUUGGGUAGGGGAGCGUUCUGUAAGCCUGUGAAGGUGUGUCGUGAGGC